rnacentral:misc_RNA from 1 species
UACAGAGGUCUCAAGCGUUGUUCGGAUUCAUUGGGCGUAAAGGGUGCGUAGGUGGUGGCGCAAGUCUGGUGUGAAAUCUCGGAGCUCAACUCCGAAAUGGCAUUGGAUACUGCGUCGCUCGAGGACUGUAGAGGAGAGUGGAAUUCACGGUGUAGCAGUGAAAUGCGUAGAUAUCGUGAGGAAGACCAGUUGCGAAGGCGACUCUCUGGGCAGUUCCUGACACUGAGGCACGAAGGCCAGGGGAGCAAACGGG